rnacentral:rRNA from 1 species
AGAAUCAACGCUGGCGGCGUGCCUCAGACAUGCAAGUCGAACGCGAAAGUUUCCUUUGGGAGGCGAGUAGAGUGGCGCACGGGUGAGUAACACGUAGGUAAUCUACCUUUGGAUGGGGAAUAACAAUCGGAAACGGUUGCUAAUACCGCAUAAUGCAGCGGCACCUAAUGGUGACAGUUGUUAAAGCGGGGAUCGAAAGACCUCGCGUCUGAAGAGGAGCCUGCGGCGGAUUAGCUAGUUGGUAAGGUAAUGGCUUACCAAGGCUACGAUCC